rnacentral:rRNA from 1 species
GAUGAACGCUCGCUACAGGCUUAACACAUGCAAGUCGAGGGGAAACGACAUCGCAAGCUUGCUUUUGAUGGGCGUCGACCGGCGCACGGGUGAGUAACGCGUAUCCAACCUGCCCAUCACUUGGGGAUAACCUUGCGAAAGUAAGACUAAUACCCAAUGACAUCUCUAGAAGUCAUCUGAUCGAGAUUAAAGAUUUAUCGGUGAUGGCUGGGGAUGCGUUUGAUUAGCUUGUGGGUGGGGUAACGGCCCACCGAGGCAACGAUCAGUAGGGGUUCUGAGAGGAAGGGCCCCCACAGUGGAACGGAGACACUGUCCACGAGCCUACGGGAGGCAGCAGAGGGGAGGAUUGAGCGAGGAACGAUGGCCUGAACCAGCCAAGUAGCUGGCGGGAAGCCGGCCGUAUGAGUGGUAAACUGCUGUUAGAAGGGGAUAUAGGGAGAGUCGUGACUCUUUUUGUAGGUACCUUAUGAAUAAGGACCGGCUAAUUCCGUG